UGCUGCUGAAUGCUACGUUUUGUGAACUGUCCUGCACAGCCUGCCUGCACACCUUCAGGUGUCCUGUGGACGUGGCAUCAGGCUCCAGCCACGAGUCUCCAUGUGAACAGAAGCGAGCGCUGGGGGGUGCUCUGAGGCCUCCUUGCUGCUGCCCUGCUGGUCCUGGGAAGCAAGUCUCCUGGUGCACACAAGGCCAAGGUGGUCCACGUGUGACCUUGGCACUGUGCCCAGUGUACAGGACGCAUUUGCCCAGUCGUGUGGACAUGGAGUCAGCCCCAGAACUGCAGUAGAGCUCAGCUCUCGGACCCCUCCUCCUGUUGUGCUGAAGCAGUCAGUUGGCAGGAGCCUCCCCCAGUCCUGGCCUUGUGACAGUGCCCCUGUGGGUCUGAGUGCUCUGACCUGCCCCUCUCCCAGGGAGCUCUGUUCACAGGAAGUACCACAGUGGACCACAACCCUUGGCAGGAAGGACAUGGCCAGUGCUUCUAGGAGAGCAGUGGAAAGUUUCCAUUGGAAUGUUGGAUUUGUGCUUGCAAAAAAUUUUGCAAGACUUUUGGAAAACCUGUGUCCACCACUGUGGGGCCACAGCAGCCUCAGGCAGCAACUUCUCUGGUGAAAGUGGUGGGAUCCCAGUGCUACGUUUUGGUGCCCAUGGUGGAGUGUCAGCCACCUUCAGGAGGACCAUGUGACUCGGCAAACUUGUAUUUUCCAAGUGCCCCAAGGCUACAUGUUCCACAUCAUGCCUGGCAAAAGGUCCGUUCAGAUUGCAACACAGACCGAUUGGAUUUUCCUGUUCCAGGAGGAGGAGAAACAUGAUCACAGGCUGCACUUCACGAUGCUUCCAGAACCUUCCAUCGCUGAGCAUCCCCGCCCUUCCCAACCACAUCAUUUCCCGAGUCUGGGUUCUCUGCGUACAUUUCAACCAAAAUAAAUCUAGCAGUGAAUUGAACGCA
rnacentral:lncRNA from 1 species